UACGUAGGGCGCAAGCGUUGUCCGGAAUUAUUGGGCGUAAAGAGCUCGUAGGCGGCCUGUUGCGUCCGCUGUGAAAUCCCGGGGCUUAACCCCGGGCCUGCAGUGGAUACGGGCAGGCUGGAGGCGGGCAGGGGAGAACGGAAUUCCCGGUGUAGCGGUGAAAUGCGCAGAUAUCGGGAGGAACACCGGUGGCGAAGGCGGUUCUCUGGGCCUGUACUGACGCUGAGGAGCGAAAGCGUGGGGAGCGAACAGG
rnacentral:rRNA from 1 species